rnacentral:lncRNA from 1 species
AUCGGACCCUUUCCGGUGAGGGAACCUCUCUCCAGACAUGAUCAAGAGAAACUGGCGAGGGACUGACAUGAUCUAGCUUACCUUGGGUCACCGAACGGAUUUGAACUCAUGUGAGAAUAUAUCUCUGUUGUAUUCAAAAGGCAUGUGACAUAAUUAUCCCAGCGAUCACUAAAACUGUAAAUUUGGAUGCAAUUAAGAGAGAAAACUCCACACAUUUAUGGAAAUUUAAGAUAUUGAAUAUGUAGUAUAUGCCAGACAAGAUGAUAAUAAAAACUAAAAGCAUCUGGAUGUUGAAUUCUCAGCUCCUUCUCCAGGACCAUGUCUGCCUGGAUGCUGCCAUGCCAUGCUUCCUGCCAUGAGAAUAAUAGACUCAACCUCUGAAACUAUUUGCAGCUUGCUGGCUUGCUGAGUGGAAAAUGAUUCUUUCCCAGUUCUCCUUGGUUUCUUCCUUUCAUGAAUUGAUUAACACUGAGAGAUUAUGUUUUAAUUAUGUCGACUAGAGGUUUUAAAUGAUUCUAGGUUUCUGUGUCCAUUUGUUUUCCUAGGUUUGGGGAAUUUGCUACUGCAAUAUCGUUGUAUAGAUAUUCUUUGCUUUAGUGAGAAACUCAGCUCCUUCUACUCUGUGGUUCUUAGCUUUAGUCUAUUGUACACAUCACAGAGUUAAUGAAAGCUGUGGUCAUACUUGAUUUUUUCUUCAUUACUAUUGAAAUAAAGCAUAUCCUUGACCUUG